CGCCUCUUGUACUACAAAAAUAAGAGGUCCUGCCUGCCCCGUGACCACGUGUUUAACGGCCGCGGUAUUUUAACCGUGCGAAGGUAGCGCAAUCACUUGUUUCUUAAAUAGAGACCUGUAUGAAUGGCAAGACGAGGGCCAGACUGUCUCUUUUUUCUAGUCAAUGAAAUUGAUCUCCCCGUGCAGAAGCGGGGAUUAGCCCAUAAGACGAGAAGACCCUGUGGAGCUUUAGACGACAGAGGCAGCCCUAGUUAAACACCCCAACUCAAAGGACUGAACUUAUAGGACCCUCCUCUUAUGUCUUCGGUUGGGGCGACCAAGGGGACAAAAAUAACCCCCACGUGGACUGAGAACGCCCAUCCCUCCCUCCACUUCUCAAACCAGAGAGCUACCGCUCGAGCUCGCAGAAACCUCUGACCUUACAGAUCCGGUUUACACCGAUCAACGAACCAAGUUACCCCAGGGAUAACAGCGCAAUCCUCUUUCAGAGGCCCUAUCGACAAGAGGGUUUACGACCUCGAUGUUGGAUCAGGACAUCCUAAUGGUGCAGCCGCUAUUAAGGGUUCGUUUGUUCAACGAUUAAAGUCCU
rnacentral:rRNA from 1 species